rnacentral:tRNA from 1 species
ACCAAAACCAUAAAACCUUAUUUAUAUCAAUGAAAACAACAUAUAUAUAUAUAUAUAUAUAACACUGCGCCGGAUAGAACGGAUUAUAUUGAUGUUAUAAAUUAUAAGGAUCUCCUUCUGUGUUU